rnacentral:rRNA from 1 species
UACGGAGGGGGCUAGCGUUGUUCGGAAUUACUGGGCGUAAAGAGUAUGUAGGCGGUUUGGUAAGUUGGAAGUGAAAGCCCGGGGCUCAACCCCGGAACUGCUUUCAAAACUGCUAAUCUAGAGAAUGGUAGGGGAUAACGGAAUUCCUAGUGUAGAGGUGAUAUUCUUAGAUAUUAGGAGGAACACCGAAAGCGAAGGCAGUUAUCUGGGCCAUUUCUGACGCUGAGAUACGAAAGCGUGGGGAGCAAACAG